rnacentral:rRNA from 1 species
GAGCGGAUGAGUGGAGCUUGCUCCAUGAUUCAGCGGCGGACGGGUGAGUAAUGCCUAGGAAUCUGCCUGGUAGUGGGGGACAACGUUUCGAAAGGAACGCUAAUACCGCAUACGUCCUACGGGAGAAAGUGGGGGAUCUUCGGACCUCACGCUAUCAGAUGAGCCUAGGUCGGAUUAGCUAGUUGGUGAGGUAAAGGCUCACCAAGGCGACGAUCCGUAACUGGUCUGAGAGGAUGAUCAGUCACACUGGAACUGAGACACGGUCCAGACUCCUACGGGAGGCAGCAGUGGGGAAUAUUGGACAAUGGGCGAAAGCCUGAUCCAGCCAUGCCGCGUGUGUGAAGAAGGUCUUCGGAUUGUAAAGCACUUUAAGUUGGGAGGAAGGGCAGUAAGUUAAUACCUUGCUGUUUUGACGUUACCAACAGAAUAAGCACCGGCUAACUUCGUGCCAGCAGCCGCGGUAAUACGAAGGGUGCAAGCGUUAAUCGGAAUUACUGGGCGUAAAGCGCGCGUAGGUGGUUCGUUAAGUUGGAUGUGAAAGCCCCGGGCUCAACCUGGGAACUGCAUCCAAAACUGGCGAGCUAGAGUAUGGCAGAGGGUGGUGGAAUUUCCUGUGUAGCGGUGAAAUGCGUAGAUAUAGGAAGGAACACCAGUGGCGAAGGCGACCACCUGGGCUAAUACUGACACUGAGGUGCGAAAGCGUGGGGAGCAAAC